rnacentral:lncRNA from 1 species
AAAACUUAACUCAAUACAUCUUGGCUACUUUGCCUCAACCCACGGGGUUCCCUGGAAACAUUUGUUGAACUUGGCCAAGAGGAGAUUGUAUAUGGAUGGCACACCUGGAAAAGGGGAGAAAGCACACUAGUUCAUCUCUUUUAUAAGUAGAAUGGUCCCAGGGAUGUUAACCUUUCUGAUGCUGAUAGUAGAUGAGUGGAGUGGAGGUAAUCGUGAGAAAACUUAAAAACCCUUAAGCUGUUUGGAGACUACACACCACAGUGGAGCAAACCAAGGUGGGGCCUCACUGCCUCCUCAGAGCCCAUCCCUGACCAUGUCAUUGGAUAGGAUGGAAGACAAAGUCUUUGAAAUGGAGGCUGGGCUGGCAAAAGUGAUAUCCCAAGUGACACAGAAACACAGCUCCUCCGGAUGGUGAAGUCUCCGCUGCAAAACUCACGAAACAGCACAGAGGAUGACUCUAGGGUGCUCUCCCACUUGCUCCAAGUUAGGCAGGUGCCCUGAUGGAGGCAAGGCUGAGCCAUUAACAUGCACAGCUCCAUAUCCUGGAAGCCUCUGUAGCCUUGAGGAGAUAGGCUCUAUCCAACAGGACUCAGAAUAAAUGACUGCCACCUCAACUGAGCAGUAUGAACUGCCCACCUCAACUGGGCAGUCUGACCUCUUCCACAGUCUUUAAGAAACAGAAGAGCCAUUUGCAUUAUUUAAUCACCAUUCAAUAAUCUCCUCCCUCCCCAUAGCUGCUUGAGUUAACUGUCCCACAAGUGUCCUG